UAUACACGAUUUUGCCCACUGCUAACAUGGCAGCACCAUCUUCUCAGUUGUUUUCCUCAUAAAGGCCUACAUGCGAAUUCCUGUCGACCCGGAUGACGUCCCAAAAACUGCAGUCAUCACACCCUUCGGCUUAUUUAAAUUCCCUGUCAUGAGUUUCGGCCUCCGCAAUGUGGGACAAACCUUCCAACGCUUCAUUGAUGACAUUGUCUGCGGCUUACGCUUCUGCUUCGUCUACCUUGAUGACAUUCUGGUCUUCUCUCCCAACGAAUGGGGCCACCGCCAGCACCUUCACCAACUUUUCCAGCGUCUUGAGCACGGCUUACUCAUCAACAUCCAGAAGAGCAUGCUCAGCGCCCCCGUUGUCACCUUCCUUGGCCAUCAAAUCUCUUCAGCAAGUACUAGACCCUUGCCUGACUGCAUCCUCGCCCUCAAAAACAACGCUCGACCUACCACAGCAAAAGACCUCCGCCGUUUCCUUGGAAUGCGCAACUUUUACAGGCGCUUCGUGCUGUUACCGGCCACAUAUCAGGCCCCUCUCUACGACGCGGUGGCUGGCCUAUGCGGCAACCAAUCUGUCAGUUGGACACCACCUUUAACACAAGCGUUCGAAGACUGCAAAACUGCCCUCUGCAACACUAUUCUGGGCCCGUAUUCUGAGACGCUCGCCUUCCGCGAAACUAUUGCCUUGGCCACGCCUCCGCCAACGGUGCGCCUUGAUUGGCUGUUUUAACAAAACCGGAAAAUAAGCACUGCCAUCUAGUAGUUCCGGCCUACGACAUUUUAACGUCAUGGUGUCGAUGAGUGCUCUCGCCAUAAAUUGAAUAAACGAACACGUCCUUUGGUGUCUUUUGGCAUUCGGUUGGUGGUGGAGUGUACUAGAGAUAAGAUAGGUGGUAGUUUAUAGUAGUCUUGGUGGUGUCUUACACGCGUUGUUUCGCGGCGAUAUUUGUUGAUUCAUUUAAAAUAAAACAUUUUACACUUCUUUA
rnacentral:lncRNA from 1 species